rnacentral:lncRNA from 1 species
CAAUGGGGGAGAGGGUGCUAAUUAUCAUAGAAGAAAAAUGGGAAAGUUUGUGGGAUUUCAAAACUGUCAUCAUAAACCCAAAGCUACUUGAAACCACUGAAGGGUUUUAUGCAAGUGAAAGCAAAGUAAGCUUCAUUUUUUUGUAAAGAUCACACUGGCUGUGGUGAGGCUGGAAUGGAGGUGCAAAGGUGGAAGCGGAAAGGGUUUUAGAUUCCAGCAAAUUGCAACUUCUCCCAGCUACCUAAGAGUCCCCCGGAAAUGCUUGAUAAACCACAGCAGGAAAUCUUUAAAUGCAGGAAAGUCUAAGAAUCCUCCAAAGACGGGGAGGAAACAGGAAAACGGGGCUCAGUGGGUGGUGGACACCCAGCUUGAGGGAAAGCUCUCCCAACCCCAGGUACCAAGGGACUUGGGUUAUGGUGGUCACAAGGGGAAGGGGCCAGGCCUGCGCUGAGCAGGGACUGGACAAUGUGCCCGUCACUGUGGAGAGUGCGUAAGGGUGCGGCACGCCUGGGCCUGCCCUCUGGUGGAGAGAAGGCUUUUGUAAACCUAGGUAUUUUCUUGGGUCUGGGUUAAAAUCCAUUCCACUGCUGGGUCUUGAAAUCCCAAGCUGAUAACUCUGAAAACACUUCCAGGCUUGUCCUACCUCAAGGUCCCUAGAAACACUGCCACAGCUUCUCAGGGGAGACCCCAGGAUGCACAGCACCCCUUGGAAAAGCCCCAGAGUCACAGCUCUUCUCCCUGUGAGGACCGUGUGGAGAUUCCAGUGCCCACCGCCACCAGGCCUUCCCAAGCUGUCCAACCUGUCCCAUCCUGGGGUCCUCUUCCUCCGAGUGCACAGUGUCUCGUGAUGCGGACCUCUGCCUCCCACUGCCCAGUUUGGGGUCCCAGGGGCAGUUCCCCUGCGGGUGUCGGGGUCCUGCAGGCUGUCCGGCCCCCGGCACAAUGCCCCUCCUAGUUGGGCGGGCACAGGGCAGGCAGGAGCCGCCUCGGGAAGGCUUUAUUCCCAGCUGUGGCAGCAGAUGCAAUGCAGGGGAGCCAGAGCACCUCCCGCUGCACACCAGGCCCCAGGUGUGACUCUGAC